rnacentral:rRNA from 1 species
AACGAACGCUGGCGGCGUGCUUAACACAUGCAAGUCGAACGGUGAACCCGCUUCGGUGGGGGAUCAGUGGCGAACGGGUGAGUAACACGUGGGCAACCUGCCCUCAGCUCUGGGAUAACUCCAAGAAAUUGGGGCUAAUACCGGAUGUGACUGCUGACCGCAUGGUCUGGUGGUGGAAAGAUUUAUCGGCUGAGGAUGGGCCCGCGGCCUAUCAGCUUGUUGGUGGGGUAGUGGCCUACCAAGGCGACGACGGGUAGCCGGCCUGAGAGGGUGACCGGCCACACUGGGACUGAGACACGGCCCAGACUCCUACGGGAGGCAGCAGUGGGGAAUAUUGCGCAAUGGGCGAAAGCCUGACGCAGCGACGCCGCGUGGGGGAUGACGGCCUUCGGGUUGUAAACCCCUUUCAGCAGGGACGAAGCGAAAGUGACGGUACCUGCAGAAGAAGCACCGGCCAACUACGUGCCAGCAGCCGCCGUAACAC